GCAGAUGUGACGGAAUAGGCAGACGUGCAAGAUUUAGGUUCUUGCGUUUGAAACGUGAGGGUUCAAAUCCCUUCAUCUGCACCA
rnacentral:tRNA from 1 species